UCCAUCCUCUCUCCCUCUCCCUCUCCCUCUCUCUCUCUUUCUGUCUAUUUCCCAUCGAUCUAACCCUAACCCAACUCUGACCCCCUCUUUUCUACACACCCCAACUGACCAAGAUGAUCCCCAUAUCUGUUUUCUAGCUCCUCAUCUCUUCUUCUUCUCCCCAAAAUCUUCAACAACACCCCCACAAACACACACAAAAGCUUCGCCAACCAAAUUGAGAGUGAAGAAACAUGGCAAUUCAGCUCCAAUCCGGUGGGUGACACCAGAAAUCUGCUCAUUCUCUCCAUCUUUCUGGUGAAGCUAGUUGCAGUAAGCAAGGUGAGGAAAGCAGGAAAGCAAAGCCCAAAAAAAGAGACAGAGUCCCAGAAGUACUAGUUACUCAUCCUCUUUGUUUUAAUCUUUAUUCCCUUUUGCUUCCACUUUCGUUUCCUUUUGAAAUCUGUACAACCUUUUGAGCUAUAUAUCUAGCUUGCAGUAGUACCUCCCCCUCAAUUUUCUAUUCUCAAUUUCUUGGGUUCUGAUCACUUCUCUCACAGCUAGGUUCUUUGUAUUUGAGUAAUCAAUUAAAAGCAUAGAAUUAUGGACACCCAUUCUCUUCCCCCUCCUUUCCACACUAGAGAUUUCCAACUCCAUCACCAGCAGCAGCAUCAGCACCAGCACCACCAGUUCCAUCACCAGCAGCAGAACUCCGAAGACGAGCAAACCGGAAGCAGCGGCCUGAACAAGGGAACCAAAAGAGAGCGAGAUAUCGACAGCAACAACGACAGUGGAAAUGGUGGUGAAGGCAGCAAAGAGCUGAACAUCACUGUUUCCGGGGAUGGAUCGGAAAUGACAAGAAGACCUAGAGGCAGGCCCGCCGGAUCCAAAAACAAGCCGAAGCCGCCCAUCAUCAUUACUCGAGAUAGUGCUAAUGCUCUCCGCACCCAUGUCAUGGAAAUCGCCGAUGGGUGCGAUAUAGUGGAGAGUGUUGCCACCUUUGCUCGCAGGCGCCAGAGAGGCGUCUGCAUUAUGAGCGGCACAGGGACGGUUACCAACGUGACCCUCAGGCAACCAGCGUCCCCGGGCUCGGUCGUGACUUUACACGGCCGAUUUGAGAUCUUGUCACUAGCUGGGUCCUUCCUACCACCUCCAGCCCCACCUGCCGCGACUGGGUUGACCAUUUAUCUGGCAGGCGGGCAAGGACAGGUGGUAGGAGGGAGUGUUGUUGGGACUCUUUUGGCUUCGGGUCCGGUGGUGAUCAUGGCUGCCUCGUUUAGCAACGCCGCCUACGAGCGGCUUCCACUGGAGGAGGACGAGGGUGCGAUGCCAAUGCCGGGAGGGAGUAUGGGGUCUCCAACCGCGGUUGGUCAACAGCAGCACCAGCAGCAACAGCAGCAACAACAGCUUUUGGCCGAAGCUGCUAAUACGAAUGCGCCUCUUUUUCAUGGGUUACCUCCCAAUCUCCUAAACUCCAUGCAAUUGCCGGCUGAAGCGGCAUACUGGGCUACUGGCCGCCCUCCAUUCUAACCAUAUUGAUGUCCUUGAAGGAGAAGAAGAAGAAGAAGAAGAAGAAGAAGCUUUUCCAGUUCAAGAUGAUCAUUCACUCCUCAUCACACCUGCAUCUUACCAAGAUGUCACAAGACUAUGUAGCUAGCUAGUAGCUAUGUAGCUAGCAGAAUUUGGGUUGUCGAGCAUUUUCAGCUGACCAAGGUUUGGAAGGACAUCGAGGGUUUGAAACCUAAGUAUGUGCGAGAGAUGGAAGCAAAGAGGGAGACAUGAAUAUAUUUGGGUACUGGUUUACACGUGCAUUGCUCUGAAGAAGCUCCUUUCCGAGGCAAACAACAUCAACAACAACACUCUUCCAUUAAACGCCCACAACUAGCAAGCAGGACUUGGCCGGAUCCUCUCUCUCUCCCUUUCUCGGGUUCAGAGAAUGAGAGUUGGGCACCUAGCUUUCUUCCUUCCUAGCUGUGAUCUCCUACCCCUACCCUUCUUACACCUUGCUUUGCUUUUCGAUCCCCAAGCUUUAAAAGCUUACUAGAGUAAUCCAUUCUUUUUGUUGGGGUCACUCCUAGUUACACUGAACUUUGAUUUGUAGUUUAUGAUAUCUUGCCCAUAAGGUCGAUCCAAAAUAUGUUAAUAUAGUUUUGAAGCCUCAAACAACUUAAAUUUCAAUGUUAUUAAUAUUAUUUUUUUAAAAUCGAAUCAAGUUACUAAAUUAGUUAAAAUUGUUCAUUAAUGUUACACAACUAGGAAAAUUAGGAUUUUUGAAGAAUUAGAUAUGCAAUCGAGAAAGGUUAUUAGAAAAAUUAACGAACGGGAA